UUGAAGUCAGGCCACCUGUGCCACGGCUUGAGCAAACCGUGCUGCCUGUAGCUCCGCCAAUAACGGGAGGCGUAAUAAUCCCGGGGAGGCCAUGCGCCACGGAAGCUGUACGCGUGGCAUAUUGGACUAGCGGUUAGAGGAGACCCCUCCCAUCACCAACUAAACGCAGCAAAAAAGGGGGCCCGAAGCCAGGAGGAAGCUGUACUCCUGGUGGAAGGACUAGAGGUUAGAGGAGACCCCCCCAACACAAAAACAGCAUAUUGACGCUGGGAAAGACCAGAGAUCCUGCUGUCUCUGCAACAUCAAUCCAGGCACAGAGCGCCGCGAGAUGGAUUGGUGUUGUUGAUCCAACAGGUUCU
rnacentral:lncRNA from 1 species